GACGAACGCUGGCGGCGUGCUUAACACAUGCAAGUCGAACGAGAAAGCACCUUCGGGUGUGAGUACAGUGGCGAACGGGUGAGUAACACGUGGGCAACCUGCCUUGGAGACUGGGAUAACGUCCCGAAAGGGACGCUAAUACCGGAUGAUGCGCGCCCUGCCACGUAGGUCGCGCCAAAUGGUAGCUUCGGCUUCUGCCCUGGGAUGGGCCCGCGCCGGAUUAGCUUGUUGGUGGGGGCAUGGCCUACCAAGGAGACGAUCCGUAGCUGGUCUGAGAGGACGAUCAGCCACACUGGGACUGAGACACGGCCCAGACUCCUACGGGAGACAGCAGUGGGGAAUCUGGCGCAAUGGGCGAAAGCCUGACGCAGCAACGCCGCGUGAGCGAAGACGGCCUUCGGGUUGUAAAGCUCUGUCAGGAGGGACGAAGCCACUCAGGUGAAUAGCCGAGAGGGUGACGGUACCUCCAGAGGAAGCCCCGGCUAACUACGUGCCAGCAGCCGCCGUAAGAC
rnacentral:rRNA from 1 species